rnacentral:rRNA from 1 species
GAGUACGUGAAACCGUUCAGGGGUAAACCUGAGAAACCCGAAAGGUCGAAAGAGGAAAUUCAUUCGCGUUUCGGCGGUCGAAGUUGRAUGUUUGUAUGACGGAUAAUGUUACGGCGUAGUUCGCUUCUUACAUCCCUCCAAUCGAUCUCGAACGCGUGCACUUUUCCUCUAGUAGAACGUCGCGAUCCGUUGGGUGUUUGUCUAAGACUUGAGAUGGAGCCCGCGUAAUUUUAUUACGCGGACACUCGAUGUUCCGACAGACUCGCUCGACGGUAUACAAAUGGCGCGGGGCCGCUGCUAAGUUAGCGUUCGGCCCGUAGCAAGUACGUUCUGUGUAAGACGGCGAUCGGACCUGGUCUCGAUUCUGUCCCAGGACGACUGUUGGUUGCGGUGCUCUCGAACAGACCUCGAAUGAAACGCCGAUCAGCGACGCUUUAGAUUUGGGUACUUUCAGGACCCGUCUUGAAACACGGACCAAGGAGUCUAGCAUGUGCGCGAGUCAUUGGGAUAUCACUAAACCUAAAGGCGUAAUGAAAGUAAAGGUUAACCUUGCGUUGACCGAGGGAGGAUGAGCGGUUUGCCCUUAAAAGUGGCCGCUUCGCACUCCCGGGGCGUCUCAUUCUCAUUGCGAGAAGAGGCGCAUCAAGAGCGUACACGCUGGGACCCGAAAGAUGGUGAACUAUGCCUGGUCAGGAYGAAGUCAGGRGAAACCMUGAYGGAGGUCCGUAGCGAUUCUAACGUGCMCAWUCKRUCGUSGGWUCUGKGUAUAGASGCG